rnacentral:rRNA from 1 species
CUACGUGCCAGCAGCCGCGGUAAUACGUAGGGCGCGAGCGUUGUCCGGAAUUAUUGGGCGUAAAGAGCUUGUAGGCGGUUUGUCGCGUCUGCUGUGAAAGGCCGGGGCUUAACUCCGUGUAUUGCAGUGGGUACGGGCAGACUAGAGUGCAGUAGGGGAGACUGGAAUUCCUGGUGUAGCGGUGGAAUGCGCAGAUAUCAGGAGGAACACCGAUGGCGAAGGCAGGUCUCUGGGCUGUAACUGACGCUGAGAAGCGAAAGCAUGGGGAGCGAACAGGAUUAGAUACCCUGGUAGUCCAUGCCGUAAACGUUGGGCACUAGGUGUGGGGGACAUUCCACGUUUUCCGCGCCGUAGCUAACGCAUUAAGUGCCCCGCCUGGGGAGUACGACCGCAAGGUUGAAACUCAAAGGAAUUGACGGGGGCCCGCACAAGCGGUGGAGUAUGUGGUUUAAUUCGACGCAACGCGAAGAACCUUACCAGGUCUUGACAU